GGUUGGGGUUAGUGGACAGAAGAACCAACAGAACAGGAUAGAGUGAUAGAACAUCAGAGUGUGCCAGACUAGUUCAGAUCAGGAACUGCCAUCAUCAGCUUCACGACACCUGAAACAGAGCAGAGAGAGAAGGAUGAGGAGAAGGCACUGACUGCAGAAAAACAUGAUACAGUAUUAUCAAGUCAGCCUGCCUUAGCCUUGGGCCUCACUCCCAGUGGCCUAGUCAACACUCAGUAUACAGUAUACAAUAAUAAUCACUGGUAAUAAAUAAUGAAUGUUGCUGUUCAUCAUCUGCAACAAACCAGCAACCUUUUAUUCAACCAGGUUCUGGCAAUGAUGCACAAAAUAUUUGGUCAUCUGAAGCCACUUGCUGAGGUGUGGGGUUCCGAUCCAAACUUGCAGCUUCUGCAGACUAAUUCUGACAGUGAAAGUUCAUGCAGGCGUCAGGACUUGGUAAUGUCUGCUGCUAAGGAGCUUCACCAGGCGUGGGUACGGAGUCUUCACUGGCAGCUGCAGCUGCAGAGCAGGUUGGAGAUUCUUCUGGACUGGUCCGUUUGUCUUCAGGAGAAUGGAGGAGUUCUUGGAGAAAUGCCACUGCCGGGGUCUGACGGAAGCGUGCCAGCUCUACUGGGCAUGGAGUACCCUGACCCGAUGGGUUCUGGUCUAGGUGUACAAGUGCUGGGUUGUCAAGCUGACUGGUCUGGCAAAACAGUACCACUAGCAGGCACCAUGGAGGACCCUGAUGGAAAAGGCUUAGUGGCGAUUCGUUAUGGUUCCCAAACCAUUGACCCAGUGACAGGCCUUUUGAGUACUGUGGUUGGAGCAAGACUGGAUCCCAUCAAAAAACACACAGUUCCCAUUACAGCUUCCUACUGGCUAAUGGAGACAGGUCAGAGCAGCAGUUUACAGGUAGAGGCACUGCAGAGAGAAGUUUGUUUACGCAACACUUAUUGGCAACAGCAAAAGCAACGGGAGGAGGAUAUUCUGAGUGAUGUGGACUCGUCUCUACACCAAUGUCUCCUUCGGUUAGCAGAAACGAACUUAGCCCAGGUCAGCCUAAUGAAGUCUGUAUUGGAUGUAAAUACUGUAUCUUAUGUUGUUCCUUCAGUAAUCGCUGAACUGAAUGUAUGCUGGUGCAAUCAUGUGGCGUUUAUUGCCAGUAAUCAAAUGCAGGCCCCGUCUUCAAUGUUUAAAGUGUGACGCUGUGCUCUGCAGGAGCAAACAAGGGCUGCAAUCCCGAGAGGAAGACAGCAGCAUAAAGUGGUGAAGAUGGACCAUCCGAGGUGGGAUGGGGCAACUGCACGAGUCUGACCUGCUUCCAUAGUGUCACUGAGUCCUGUUUCAAGUGAAGUCUGGCUUUUGGGGCUGUGACGGGGUCCAGUGGAUAAUGGGUGUUAUGACCCUCACUUUUAUUUUUCAGGGGUGUGGUUUCAGUGUGUCUAACAACUGGAGGAGUUUCCAACUUCAUGGGAAGUCAUUGUAUUUUGUUCCUUUUUUUGACACUAUGCUAUCUUUUAUAUGAAUUGUAUUUAAAUGUUAAAACUGGUGAGGUUUAUAAUAAAAAAACAGGAGAAGAAAAU
ensembl:lncRNA